AUUGAACGCUGGCGGCAGGCCUAACACAUGCAAGUCGGACGGUAGCACAGAGAGCUUGCUCUCGGGUGACGAGUGGCGGACGGGUGAGUAAUGUCUGGGGAUCUGCCCGAUAGAGGGGGAUAACCACUGGAAACGGUGGCUAAUACCGCAUAACGUCGCAAGACCAAAGAGGGGGACCUUCGGGCCUCUCACUAUCGGAUGAACCCAGAUGGGAUUAGCUAGUAGGCGGGGUAACGGCCCACCUAGGCGACGAUCCCUAGCUGGUCUGAGAGGAUGACCAGCCACACUGGAACUGAGACACGGUCCAGACUCCUACGGGAGGCAGCAGUGGGGAAUAUUGCACAAUGGGCGCAAGCCUGAUGCAGCCAUGCCGCGUGUAUGAAGAAGGCCUUCGGGUUGUAAAGUACUUUCAGCGGGGAGGAAGGCGAUGUGGUUAAUAACCGCGUCGAUAGACGCUACCCGCAGAAGAAGCACCGGCUAACUCCGUGCCAGCAGCCGCAGUAA
rnacentral:rRNA from 1 species